AGCAGCAACACACUCCUGCAAUGACCAUGCUAGGUGUAUACAAUUCUUCGCAAGGUGCCAGUGUAUUGCUGCAAGCAAGAAUACAUAAAGCAAGCUCUCCUCUUAAUAAAAUGACUCACCAUAGAAACUUGAAUAAUGAACUACAACACCAUUCACAUAUUCUUAAAGAUGAAUUAUACCAACAUAAAAAUCCGCAACUUUACUGAGAAGCCAACAAAAAAAGUUAUAAUAUUACAUCUCAAAUAAUCUAAUACUAUGUCACUCAUGGAAAAUAUUAGAGUUAUAUCCACGAACUAAACAAUGAUACUAAUAUUCUAGAGAAAUGACGACUGACCAAGUAAUAUUAUACUGAUCAGUAAAUACCCAAGAGGCAAAUAAGUGCAAGGUAGGAUAUAACAAUGUAAAGAAGCAGCUUAUGCUUUCAGUUAUGUCAUGGGGCCAGAAGAUCAAACUUACUUGGUCGGAAAGAAACAUGAAACUGAAUGAACCAAACAACAAAAAUUAGAACCUCAAAGUAUGAAGAACAAACACAACCUAUUCUUUUCACCAUCAAUAGCUCAGCAAUGAGAAUCUCACCGUAAGGGAUCCGGUUGCGGCAAAAGAAAAGAAAGGUACAUUGCGUUGGCUGUAAAACACAAUGCGGUGUAAAUCAUUUUAACUAAGGAAUUUAUAGCUACAAAUCUAGGUUAUAAGUUUCCAUUUUAAAACUUCAUUCCAAAAUUUGUUCUUUCUAAAGUUCACCACAAUCAUUCUAUAUUCACAAUAGUCAAACGUGUUAAAUCAGCAAACUGGUUUAAUACUUACCAUUUAUGUGUAAGAAGAAUCACGGUGAAAAGAAAUCAUUCUAUAUUUACAAUUGUAGUGUUUCCUAAUUGAAUACUUACCAUGGCAGAGGAGGCGGCGAUAAACCAGCAUUGGAAGAGAUCGGCGGCGCCGAUAAGGAGAGGUGGCAGUCCUGGAAUGUUUUGUGAAUCCCUCGGAGGCUGGUGUCAUUGCCGGUUGUUGGCGGCGGCAAUGUUGAGAGAAGGAGUCGGUGGUGGAGAAUCCACGAGCGUCGCUGUCAGUUGUCUCCCACGGUGAGACUUCGGGUGACGAAUGCGCCCGGCGAUGAAGGCACGAUCGUUGGCAGCGGCAGUGGAGACACCGGCGAUGAAGGCACAAUCGUAGCAAGAUUUGAUUUUUAGUUUUUGAGAUAUGAAUUUUAGUUUUUCAGAGAGACCGAUGGAUGAGUGGAGAGACCGAUGAAUGAGUGAGAAAAGAAUAUAGUUUUUGAAAUAAAAAUAAAAAGAUCAAUAAAAGCCACGUAGGAUAUACAUUUUAAAGCUAGAAGCUCUAGAAUUGCACGGAUUUCAAAUACUGAAUUCUGACGAUGCCA
rnacentral:lncRNA from 1 species